UACAUGGGGUGCAAACGUUGCUCGGAAUUAUUGGGCGUAAAGCGCACGUAGGCGGUUCGUUAAGUCGGAUGUGAAAGCCCUCGGCUCAACUGAGGAAGUGCACCCGAAACUGGCGAGCUUGAGUACGAAAGAGGAUCGCGGAAUUCCCGGUGUAGAGGUGAAAUUCGUAGAUAUGGGGAGGAACACCGGUGGCGAAGGCGGCCACCUGGACGGUCACUGACGCUGAGACGCGAAAGCGUGGGGAGCAAACAGG
rnacentral:rRNA from 1 species